ACACAUACAGAGGAAAUACCAUGUUGUAAAAGUGGUUUUUCCAGAGGAAGACUUGUCCGUUGCACUUUGGAUGUAUUGCUGAUCCCUGUGAUUUUCCCCAAAUGCGGGGAACUCAAUUGCACAAUUUGUGUUAAUGGGAAUUUGCACUUGUGAUUUCCCU
rnacentral:snRNA from 1 species